AACAUGUUUUAAAAAUCGGAAAAAAAUCCCAAAAAAUCAAGAAAAAAUCGGGAAUGAAUCCAGGAUGACGCACCUUCAGUUCUGGAUUACAGGACCCCUACAGGAAGGCCAAAAGAUGCAGUCAUUGGCAGAUGAAUUGAAAAAUCUACUGGAAAUCUAAAGAAAAUCAGGAGAAAAAGGAAAGAAUAAGAAAUAUCUGGUCAAAAUCUGGAAACAAGUCUAAGGUCGUGCUACUCUAGCUACAUAGCGUCAAAACUUACUGAUCUAAGAACUUGCUGAUCAAAAACUCGUCACACACCUUCGACGUUUCAUCGAAGCAUAGCCUGUAAUUGCAUUCUUGGUCUCCCGAAAAAAAACAGUCAGAGGAUCAGAGGCUACAGUCUCCAGACAUUUGCAAUUUUGGGGGCUGGACAAUGGAACUAAGCAACAGUGAAGCUACGUGACAGUUUUAUUUGAAUAUGGAUACAGCGUCUCAAUGGCAAAUGCAGAAGAAUCGGUAUACAGAAUUUCCCAGGUGAUUGAUGACACUGUUUGUUGGCAGCCAAGGUGAUUAAAUAGUUCAUGAGGAAAUUGCGAGAAUAGGAGAGAAUUGAUGACAGUUCGCAAUGGAUAAUUGCAUUCUUGGUCUCGAAAUGGAGAACACUCAAAGGAUUAGAGGCUACAGUCUCCAGACGUUUGCGAUUGUUGGGGCUGGACAAUGAAACUAAGCAACAGUGAAGCUACGUGUCAGUUUUAUUUGGAUGUGGAUGUAACGUUAGUUGGAAAAUGCAGAAGAAUCGGUAUACAGAAUUUCCCAGGUGAUUGAUGACACUGUUUGUUGGUAGCCAAAGUGAUUGAAUAGUUCAUGAGGAAAUUGCGAGAAUAGGAGAGA
rnacentral:lncRNA from 1 species